GGGCUUUUAGCUCAAUUGGUUAGAGUAUCCGGCUCAUAACCGGAAGGCUCCGGGUUCAAUCCCUGGAAAGCCCACCA
rnacentral:tRNA from 1 species